CCAGACUCCUACGGGAGGCAGCAGUGAGGAAUAUUGGUCAAUGGCCGAGAGGCUGAACCAGCCAAGUCGCGUGAGGGAAGAAUGUCCUAUGGAUUGUAAACCUCUUUUGUCAGGGAGCAAAGUCACCCACGUGUGGGUGUUGGAGAGUACCUGAAGAAAAAGCAUCGGCUAACUCCGUGCCAGCAGCCGCGGUAAUACGGAGGAUGCGAGCGUUAUCCGGAUUUAUUGGGUUUAAAGGGUGCGUAGGCGGGAUGCCAGGUCAGCGGUAAAGAUGCGGUGCUCAACGCGGUCGAGCCGUUGAAACUGGCGUUCUUGAGUGGGCGAGAAGUAUGCGGAAUGCGCGGUGUAGCGGUGAAAUGCAUAGAUAUCACGAAGAACUCCGAUUGCGAAGGCAGCAUACGGCAGCGCUACUGACGCUGAAGCUCGAAGGCGCGGGUAUCGAACAGGAUUAGAUACCCCUGUA
rnacentral:rRNA from 1 species